GAGUUUGAUCAUGGCUCAGAACGAACGCUGGCGGCAGGCCUAACACAUGCAAGUCGAGCGAGACCUUCGGGUCUAGCGGCGGACGGGUGAGUAACGCGUGGGAAUAUGCCCUUUGGUACGGAAUAGCCUCGGGAAACUGGGAGUAAUACCGUAUGUGCCCUUCGGGGGAAAGAUUUAUCGCCAAAGGAUUAGCCCGCGUUGGAUUAGGUAGUUGGUGGGGUAAUGGCCUACCAAGCCUACGAUCCAUAGCUGGUUUGAGAGGAUGAUCAGCCACACUGGGACUGAGACACGGCCCAGACUCCUACGGGAGGCAGCAGUGGGGAAUCUUAGACAAUGGGGGCAACCCUGAUCUAGCCAUGCCGCGUGAUCGAUGAAGGCCUUAGGGUUGUAAAGAUCUUUCAGCUGGGAAGAUAAUGACGGUACCAGCAGAAGAAGCCCCGGCUAACUCCGUGCCAGCAGCCGCGGUCA
rnacentral:rRNA from 1 species